UUUGCGUCCUGAGUGUUCCGAUCAGUGAAAAAGUAACUCCUUCGAACGAUUAGGUUUGAAAUUUAUGGGAUACGUGGAAGAAACGUUUAUUCCAUUUAUGUGAACUCGUUUAAGAAUAUAACUUAUAAAUAUUUCUAUUAUAAACGAAUCUUCGUUUAAAAUUGGGAAAAAUUGAACACCAUCCAAGAACGAUCCUGUAUAUAUC